GUCUGCUGUCUUUCUUAGCCUAUGGAGAAGGGUCCUUGCAGAAUGCCCCACCCCACCCCGUCCCACCAUGACUAACUCUCUUCUCCUGGGCUGCAGAAGGACCACACGGGCCAGAUGGACCAAUACCUGGUGCAUGGGGAUGAGUACAAGGCACUUCGUGAUGCAGUGGGCAAAGCCAUGCUCGAGUGCAAGGCCCCCAGCCUCGAGGCUGCUCUGAUGGCCUGCAGGAGCCCCAGAGCUCAACAGGCUGUCUACCUGCUGCUGGUGCUGUUCCGAGAAGUGGCUGCUCUCCACUGUUCUCACAAUGCAGACCUCCACCCUAAGCCAGAGGUGAGUGACACAUUGAGGCUUAUGUUCAGUCU
rnacentral:lncRNA from 1 species